rnacentral:rRNA from 1 species
AUUGAACGCUGGCGGCAGGCCUAACACAUGCAAGUCGAGCGGAUGAAGGGAGCUUGCUCCUGGAUUCAGCGGCGGACGGGUGAGUAAUGCCUAGGAAUCUGCCUGGUAGUGGGGGAUAACGUCCGGAAACGGGCGCUAAUACCGCAUACGUCCUGCGGGAGAAAGUGGGGGAUCUUCGGACCUCACGCUAUCAGAUGAGCCUAGGUCGGAUUAGUUAGUUGGUGGGGUAAAGGCCUACCAAGGCGACGAUCCGUAACUGGUCUGAGAGGAUGAUCGGUCACACUGGAACGGAGACACGGUCCAGACUCCUACGGGAGGCAGCAGUGGGGAAUAUUGGACAAUGGGCGAAAGCCUGAUCCAGCCAUGCCGCGUGUGUGAAGAAGGUCUUCGGAUUGUAAAGCACUUUAAGUUGGGAGGAAGGGCAGUAAGUUAAUACCUUGCUGUUUUGACGUUACCAACAGAAUAAGCACCGGCUAACUUCGUG